GGAGUCGUAUCGAAGUGGUCAUAACGGGGCUGACUCGAAAUCAGUUUGUCCGCAAGGACACGUGGGUUCGAAUCCCACCGACUCCG
rnacentral:tRNA from 1 species